CGGAAACGGCUUGAUUGCCAAGAAAACAGACAGUGAUGAAAUAGUCUCUGAAAUGCGACGGUCAAAAAUACUGAAAGCCAUGUACAUAUGCCCCACCAAAACAAUAUUGCCCAUCAAAUAUAGACACAUGGCAGCACAGCCCUGUAUACACACAGGUGGCAGCACAAAAUUGGUAGCUCCACUUAUAGGCCAAUAACUGGAGUUAAUGGAUUAUGGCAGAUAUAAGGUCUAUAUCGGGAGUUGCGUCAUCUCAUGGGUUAAAACUGUUCAGACGUUUGCUGUUGAAUAAAGUGAAAUAGACAUUUUAAAAAUAUUUUCAACGAAGUAAAGAGUGUUCAUUUUUUU
rnacentral:sRNA from 1 species